CGGACAGGUGAGUAACGCGUGGAAAACCUGCCGUAUACUGGGGGAUAACACUUAGAAAUAGGUGCUAAUACCGCAUAAGCGCACAGCUUCGCAUGAAGCGGUGUGAAAAACUCUGGUGGUAUACGAUGGUUCCGCGUCUGAUUAGCUAGUCGGUGGGGUAAUGGCCUACCAAGGCAACGAUCAGUAGCCGGCCUGAGAGGGUGAACGGCCACAUUGGGACUGAGACACGGCCCAAACUCCUACGGGAGGCAGCAG
rnacentral:rRNA from 1 species